AUGAACGCUAGCUACAGGUUUAACACAUGCAAGUCGAGGGGCAGCAUGGUCUUAGCUUGCUAAGGCCGAUGGCGACCGGCGCACGGGUGAGUAACGCGUAUCCAACCUGCCUUACACUCUUGGACAGCCUUCUGAAAGGGAGAUUAAUACAAGAUGUUAUCAUGAGUAAGCAUUUUCGCAUGAUUAAAGGUUUACCGGUGUAAGAUGGGGAUGCGUUCCAUUAGAUAGUAGGCGGGGUAACGGCCCACCUAGUCUUCGAUGGAUAGGGGUUCUGAGAGGAAGGUCCCCCACAUUGGAACUGAGACACGGUCCAAACUCCUACGGGAGGCAGCAGUGAGGAAUAUUGGUCAAUGGACGAGAGUCUGAACCAGCCAAGUAGCGUGAAGGAUGAAGGUUCUAUGGAUUGUAAACUUCUUUUAUACGGGAAUAAACGAAUCCACGUGUGGAUUUUUGCAUGUACCGUAUGAAUAAGGAUCGGCUAACUCCGUGCCAGCAGCCGCGGUAAUACGGAGGAUCCGAGCGUUAUCCGGAUUUAUUGGGUUUAAAGGGAGCGUAGAUGGGUUGUUAAGUCAGUUGUGAAAGUUUGCGGCUCAACCGUAAAAUUGCAAUUGAUACUGGCAGUCUUGAGUACAGUUGAGGUAGGCGGAAUUCGUGGUGUAGCGGUGAAAUGCUUAGAUAUCACGAAGAACUCCGAUUGCGAAGGCAGCUUACUAACCUGUAACUGACAUUGAUGCUCGAAAGUGUGGGUAUCAAACAGGAUUAGAUACCCUGGUAGUCCACACGGUAAACGAUGAAUACUCGCUGUAGGCGAUAUACAGUCUGCGGCCAAGCGAAAGCAUUAAGUAUUCCACCUGGGGAGUACGCCGGCAACGGUGAAACUCAAAGGAAUUGACGGGGGCCCGCACAAGCGGAGGAACAUGUGGUUUAAUUCGAUGAUACGCGAGGAACCUUACCCGGGCUUAAAUUGCAACCGAAUAUAGCGGAAACGCUAUAGCUAGCAAUAGCGGUUGUGAAGGUGCUGCAUGGUUGUCGUCAGCUCGUGCCGUGAGGUGUCGGCUUAAGUGCCAUAACGAGCGCAACCCUUGCCGAUAGUUACUAACAGGUUAUGCUGAGGACUCUGUCGGGACUGCCAUCGUAAGAUGUGAGGAAGGUGGGGAUGACGUCAAAUCAGCACGGCCCUUACGUCCGGGGCUACACACGUGUUACAAUGGGGGGUACAGAGGGCUGCUACCACGCAAGUGGAUGCCAAUCCCAAAAACCUCUCUCAGUUCGGAUUGAAGUCUGCAACCCGACUUCAUGAAGCUGGAUUCGCUAGUAAUCGCGCAUCAGCCACGGCGCGGUGAAUACGUUCCCGGGCCUUGUACACACCGCCCGUCAAGCCAUGGGAGCCGGGGGUACCUGAAGUGCGUAACCGCAAGGAGCGCCCUAGGGUAAAACUGGUGACUGGGGCU
rnacentral:rRNA from 1 species